AAUGGAUAACAGAUUUCAAACAUUUAAAGAAAACGCUUUCAGUUCACAUGUUCCACUAACUCCCUUAAUUUAAAAGGUACAUUUCCAUCUUACCAAUCAUUUUUCUUUCCAAAACUAUAAGAAUGCAAGUUAAAGCGACCAUUACAACAAACAAACAAAUUAAUUAAGUGAUGAUGCACAGCAGCCUGGAAAGAAGUUCACUAGAAGGAAUCCGCUUAUAUCACUUUAUAGGGACACACAGCAAAAACCUGGAAUUAAACAAAGCUUUGGUCUCGCACCCAAGUACGUCGGUAUCGGAGUAGACGAUAUCGGAGUAGACGGUAUCGGAGUAGACGGUAUCAGAGUGGUCAGAAUCGGAGUAGAGGACAUCGGAGAAGAUGAUAUCGGAGUGGACGGUAUCUAAGUCGAUGGUUGCUGCCGCAACUGCUUCCUUUCAUUUUAUCUAACUAUUUCUUAUACAUAUGUACUUAUAUGGUACAAUAUUUAUAUUCGUUUCUUUGGAUUAAUAACAUUUACUAAAUUAUCAAUGUUUUUAAAUUUUAAAUUAAAGAAAAGUACAC